AGUUAGCCGUGGCUUUCUGGUUAGGUACCGUCAAGGUGCCGCCCUAUUUGAACGGCACUUGUUCUUCCCUAACAACAGUAGCUUUACGAUCCGAAAACCUUCAUCACUCACGCGGCGUUGCUCCGUCAGACUUUCGUCCAUUGCGGAAGAUUCCCUACUGCUGCCUCCCGUAGGAGUCUGGGCCGUGUCUCAGUCCCAGUGUGGCCGAUCACCCUCUCAGGUCGGCUACGCAUCGUUGCCUUGGUGAGCCGUUACCUCACCAACUAGCUAAUGCGCCGCGGGUCCAUCUGUAAGUGGUAGCCGAAGCCACCUUUUAUGUCUGAACCAUGCGGUUCAAACAACCAUCCGGUAUUAGCCCCGGUUUCCCGGAGUUAUCCCAGUCUUACAGGCAGGUUACCCACGUGUUACUCACCCGUCCGCCGCUAACAUCAGGGAGCAAGCUCCCAUCUGUCCGCUCGACUUGCAUGUAUUAGGCACGCC
rnacentral:rRNA from 1 species